rnacentral:lncRNA from 1 species
UCUGGACUGAACAAACCAGGCAAAAUGCCACUUUUGUGUCAGGCCGUACUUUUCUCCCCUUCGCCCACGAUCAGGCGUGCCUGUGCCCUAAAAAGUACGGCCUGAUACUCAGGUUAGCGUGUACAUAGUAUAAUGGUAUAGCCAACAUUUUGUUGAAAAGCUGGUAUAGUAUUUCUUGGGAGGAUAAAAGUAAACUGGGUGCAAAUGGUAUCCAUAGCUUAGAGGGUACAAAUGGUACCUGUAAGAAGAUUGGUGGAUAUCGUGCAGGAUUUGGUGGAAAAGAUUUUUUGGAAGAUGUGGGUUUUAUCCGGGUACUCCGAUAUCGAUCCUCCCACAGAAGACGCUGACAAGCUUAGGACUGUAAUAACACAAUUGUAAAGAUAAAUAUAGUCUAUGCUUAAUAUAGAACUCAGAGAGUUCUAUAUUUUUUUCCCAUAAUGCAUGUAUAUCGCUGGUUUCGAACGUUAGUUUUCUGCCCCGUGUUAUAUGAAAACAGUUCGCUACCAGAGAUUAGCUCCCCUCUCUGUUAUAGCAGUAAAUGUUGGCUCAACGACUUCGUGGAAGACAAUUAACAUAAGGCAUGCAAACCUCGCCCCUGUUUGUGGAAGCUCACCAGGUGCGAUGGCACUAGGUUAAGUUAGGCUAAGGGCAUGACCGAGACUCCACAUUCGGGGGCAUUCCUUUGCAGGUUUUUGAAAAAUACGAUGCAUUAGCUUGAAAGGUUAGGCAGCUAGGAAUUAGGGCAUUUUUGCUUCUGUUUAUACAGUAUUUCAAUUAAGGUUGUCCCCGAGCAAAGCGGAAAAGUUGAAUACGAGCGCGAAAGGCUUACUGGGAAUCGCUAAAAAAUUAAUAAAUUUUAUAGCGAUUCCCAGCAAGCUUCGCGCUCGUAUUCUACUUUUUCGCUUUGCUCGGGGACAACCUUAAAUUAAAGGAAAUAGCUGUAUACUAUAGCCAAUGGUUUUGUAUAUAUACUAUAAGGUUCGCCAUCUUUGCGCCAGUAACUUACUGUAAAGUAUUCCAUAGAGCAGAAAAAUGCAAUCCGUUUUCCUACUAAAAGAAUACUUUAUAGUGAAUCAAAGUGGCAAGAAAUGAAAAAAAAAAUAAAAAAUGAAAAAUUGCAAAAAAAAUGAAAAUCGAAAAAAAUAAAAGAGCGCGAAGCCACUUUGAAUAUAAGCAACAAUAAGCCAGGAAUACUCGUUGCAGAAAAAAAUAAACAAAAAAGAAACUAUGUUUUCUGCCAAAAAUGUCCUGGACUGGGUGCUUAACGAUAAGAAACGUAGUUCUGACCCCAAAGUGGAGAUAGGCUCGUUUCUUUAGGUUGCUAAUGCACUGCGCGCGCGUUAUAAGUUCUACCAUGAGUUUUCAAUUGAAGAGACCGCCAGGAAAAAUAUGGUGUUUUCAUGUGUUGCGUUGUUGACGGACAAAUGAUGAUUUUCUUGUUUACCAAAAUUUCGGUGCUUUAAAUUUGUCCCCAAACAUGGCGGCCAUGAAAACACUGUGCAGAUCAAGUUUAUGUAUGAUCGCCAUAGCGACGUAGUAUGUUUGCCAUGUUGCAUUCCGCGUUGUCUUGCUUUGUUCAUAAAUAGACUUCGUCGAACGCAGCGAAUUACAUAAGCGGCGCGCGCGUCCUGCUGCAUGCAUUGCGGAGUACAUUAAUUGAGUGUACUCCAUGCGCAAAUAUAUAUAGUGACGUGUGCUCUAGACUUGAAACAAGUCUUGCUUUGAAAAAAGAAAUUACGGUGCAUGUUGAUUAGAAUUAAGAGCACGAAGUUUCAUGCUUAUUAAAAUUAAACGCACUAAAUAAG